CCUACGGGAGGCAGCAGUGGGGAAUUUUGGACAAUGGGCGCAAGCCUGAUCCAGCCAUGCCGCGUGCAGGAUGAAGGCCUUCGGGUUGUAAACUGCUUUUGUACGGAACGAAAAGACUCUGGUUAAUACCUGGGGUUCAUGACGGUACCGUAAGAAUAAGCACCGGCUAACUACGUGCCAGCAGCCGCGGUAAUACGUAGGGUGCAAGCGUUAAUCGGAAUUACUGGGCGUAAAGCGUGCGCAGGCGGUUAUAUAAGACAGAUGUGAAAUCCCCGGGCUCAACCUGGGAACUGCAUUUGUGACUGUAUAGCUAGAGUACGGUAGAGGGGGAUGGAAUUCCGCGUGUAGCAGUGAAAUGCGUAGAUAUGCGGAGGAACACCGAUGGCGAAGGCAAUCCCCUGGACCUGUACUGACGCUCAUGCACGAAAGCGUGGGGAGCAAACAGGAUUAGAUACCCUGGUAGUCCACGCCCUAAACGAUGUCAACUGGUUGUUGGGUCUUCACUGACUCAGUAACGAAGCUAACGCGUGAAGUUGACCGCCUGGGGAGUCGGCCGCAAGGUUGAAACUCAAUGAAUUGACGGCUGAGAGNGCGAGCGACGACGAGGGAGGAGG
rnacentral:rRNA from 1 species